rnacentral:lncRNA from 1 species
CCGAAUAACGCAAAUAAAGCCUGCCUGUCCUCCAUCGCUGUUGGAUGUAAGUAGAGCCCUGCCUUAAGAGAGAAAGAGAGAGAGGUGGAAAUGUGUUCGUCUUCUUCUUCUUGUCUAUUCUCUUCGACGUUUCCACUCCGUGCUGCUGCUGCGAAGCCUGUUGGAUUCAACUCUCAUCCCCUUACGCUCGCUGCUUCUGCUUUCUGACGGGGGCUUGAUAUGCUUUUACGUGCCACAUGAAGACGGGACUAUGGCGCCACACCGACUUAGCUAGCACCGGGUCGGAUCAGGUCGGGUUGGGUCGGGUCGGGUCGGAUGAGAUCGGGUCCGGCCAAGUCGGGCCGGGCCGGGUUGGGUGGGGCUGGGCCGGGCCAGGCUGGGCAAGGCUGUGCUGAGCUGAGCUUUAGGCGAUAGUGCAGGAGGAGCCAAGCAGUGCGACAAUGGGCGAAGUAAGUGAGUGAGUGAGUGAAUCAGAUUUUGCAAGUUACGGGCAUCUCCUCCUCCUCCUCCGGGGCCGCAGCCUCGUAUUCGGGAAGGAGGGGGGUUGCAGGGAUGAUGAGGAUACAGGGCAUGAGUGGGGGGAAAUAGACACACAUUAGUAGAGGCCUGGUGGUGGAGAUAACGAGGUGAAGGAAAAGAAGAAGAAGCAGAAAGAAAAGGAAGAAGACCUCUUUUACUGAGAAGAAGAAGCCUAGUGCAAGAGAGCUACUACUGGAGAGUGGUAAGGUGAUGGUUUGUAGGGGGUGGCGGUGGUGGUGGCUGCGGCGACCGCCUUUUAAACAUUUGGUCCCCUUUGCUGUGUACCUACCUCUUGUUCGUGUGCAUGUUUUGUCUUUUUCUUUUUUCCUUUUCUUCUGUCCCCUUUUUUCUUUUUCUUUUCCUUGGAUUUUUUUUUUGGGGGGGGUGUGCAUGCGGAUGUUUUGCAUCACAAAACAUGUGACGUGAGUCAUGCACACACCCAUCAUCAAACAUGAAAAUGGGUUGUGCAUUUGGACAAACAAACAAA